CAACCCUCAAGCGACGCUUGGUAUUGAGCCCGUGUCAGCGAUGGCAGGCUCCAAAGACAGUGGCGGCGCCGCUGGGUCCUGAACGUAGUAAUCAUACCUCUCGUUACAGGUGCCCCGCGUGCUUCUGCCGAAACAUCAUUUCUAA
rnacentral:misc_RNA from 1 species